UCAAAAUAAACUAAAUUUUUAUUUUGGCCGUUUGCCACUCAGUAAUUUUCAUCCAAAAGAUAACAGUAAAGACUAAAUUGACAUGGUACUAAAAGGUUAGGAACCAAAUUGAUGCAAUUGAAAUGUUAGGGAUCAAAUUGAAACAUGAUAUAAAAAAUAAAAACCAAAUACGUAAUUUACCCACACAAAAAGUACCCACACAAAAAGAAGGAGACCCAACCUAGACCUGACUUACCUGCGCUAGACCCAGCCCAAGUGUGCAGGUUUCGGGUGAAUGAGAGUUUGGGCCAAUUCUAUCAGGUUGAGUGAAGAUCAGAUUGGGUUCAGACCCGACCUAAACCAUGCUUAGCCCUAACAGCUAUCAAAUUGGAAUCGCAUAAAUUAAUAGUGGGUAGCAUGUAUCCAUGAUCGCCGCACCACCACCAUGAAUGGGUAUCAGUAUUUUUGAUACUUUUAGUGGUAUUAAGGACAAGACGUGUGCUCGCUUUGAGUUCGUCUUCGAUUAUAUUAAGAUUCUAGACUUGGAGGAGUCAAUUUCAAAGAUGAGAUGGAGUUUUAAUGGGUAUUUGUAUUUGUUAUUUUUCGCCGAUGCCAUCACUUGACAAUACCACUAGCAAGACCUUUUGACUUUGCUAAACCUUGUAUGGGAUUUGAAGAAGACAAGGAGGCGUUCAUGGAUACUCCACUUUGCUAGUGCCAGAGGCUUUCUUUGAUUUUGUAGGUUGCUGUAUUUUGUGUGUUUUUUUUCUUGAAUAUGUGUUUGAGGAGUGUUCUUUGGGUUUGGAUUGGUGGUGUUCAGAUCUAUUGCCCUUCUCUCUUUGGAUUUGUGUGAAUAUGAAAAUUUUAUUUAAAUUGAUUGGCUCAAAAUCAUUCUUAUGAAGAGGAUGAAUCUUCUUGAGCCAAAGCUUCAAAUUUUUACAAA